rnacentral:rRNA from 1 species
ACGUAGGGUGCGAGCGUUAAUCGGAAUUACUGGGCGUAAAGCGUGCGCAGGCGGUUUUGUAAGACAGGCGUGAAAUCCCCGGGCUUAACCUGGGAAUUGCGCUUGUGACUGCAAGGCUAGAGUGCGUCAGAGGGGGGUAGAAUUCCACGUGUAGCAGUGAAAUGCGUAGAGAUGUGGAGGAAUACCGAUGGCGAAGGCAGCCCCCUGGGACGUGACUGACGCUCAUGCACGAAAGCGUGGGGAGCAAACAGG